GGCGGUUCUUGGGUGACGCACUCCGGAAUUGGACACCCUCCUCUCUGGUUCCAAGUGUAUCACCUGAGAACUGCU
rfam:Myotis lucifugus cont2.21174, whole genome shotgun sequence.